rnacentral:rRNA from 1 species
AGUGAACGCUGGCGGUAGGCCUAACAUAUGCAAGUCGAACGGCAGCACAGUAAGAGCUUGCUCUUACGGGUGGCGAGUGGCGGACGGGUGAGGAAUACAUCGGAAUCUACUUUUUCGUGGGGGAUAACGUAGGGAAACUUACGCUAAUACCGCAUACGACCUACGGGUGAAAGCAGGGGAUCUUCGGACCUUGCGCGAUUGAAUGAGCCGAUGUCGGAUUAGCUAGUUGGCGGGGUAAAGGCCCACCAAGGCGACGAUCCGUAGCUGGUCUGAGAGGAUGAUCAGCCACACUGGAACUGAGACACGGUCCAGACUCCUACGGGAGGCAGCAGUGGGGAAUAUUGGACAAGGGACGCAAGCCUGAUCCAGCCAUACCGCGUGGGUGAAGAAGGCCUUCGGGUUGUAAAGCCCUUUUGUUGGGAAAGAAAAGCAGCAGGUUAAUACCCCGCUGUUCUGACGGUACCCAAAGAAUAAGCACCGGCUAACUUCGU